rnacentral:rRNA from 1 species
GGAUUCGUGCUUACACAUGCAAGUCGAACGGAGAGCUCAUGACAGACGAUACGUCCAAUGGAUUGGGUUUCUUAGUGGCGGACGGGUGAGUAACGCGUGAGGAACCUGCCUCGGAGUGGGGAAUAACAGUCCGAAAGGACUGCUAAUACCGCAUAAUGCAGCUGAGUCGCAUGACACUGGCUGCCAAAGAUUUAUCGCUCUGAGAUGGCCUCGCGUCUGAUUAGCUAGUUGGCGGGGUAACGGCCCACCAAGGCGACGAUCAGUAGCCGGACUGAGAGGUUGGCCGGCCACAUUGGGACUGAGACACGGCCCAGACUCCUACGGGAGGCAGCAGUGGGGAAUAUUGGGCAAUGGGCGCAAGCCUGACCCAGCAACGCCGCGUGAAGGAUGAAGGCUUUCGGGUUGUAAACUUCUUUUAUCAGGGACGAAAUAAAUGACGGUACCUGAUGAAUAAGCCACGGCUAACUACGUGCCAGCAGCCGCGGUAAUACGUAGGUGGCAAGCGUUAUCCG